rnacentral:rRNA from 1 species
AACGAACGCUGGCGGCAUGCCUAACACAUGCAAGUCGAACGAGACCUUCGGGUCUAGUGGCGCACGGGUGCGUAACGCGUGGGAACCUGCCCUUAGGUUCGGCAUAACUCCCCGAAAGGGGUGCUAAUACCGGAUAAUGUCUUCGGACCAAAGAUUAAUCGCCUUUGGAUGGGCCCGAGUUGGAUUAGCUAGUUGGUAGGGUAAAAGCCUACCAAGGCGACGAUCCAUAGCUGGUCUGAGAGGAUGAUCAGCCACACUGGGACUGAGACACGGCCCAGACUCCUACGGGAGGCAGCAGUGGGGAAUAUUGGACAAUGGGCGAAAGCCUGAUCCAGCAAUGCCGCGUGAGUGAUGAAGGCCUUAGGGUUGUAAAGCUCUUUUACCCGGGAUGAUAAUGACAGUACCGGGAGAAUAAGCUCCGGCUAACUCCGUG